ensembl:lncRNA
GGCGAGGAGCAGAGAGACACGGAGAAACACAGAAUAAUGCUGAGUAACACAGAAGAUUCACGGAGAAACACAGACGACGCGACGAGGAGCACAGGCAGACACACAGUAUAAAUACACACACCAGAAGUUCCACAUGCUGACUGCCAGCUCUGCAAGCAUCCAGUCAUCUCUGCUGAGAGAGAACAAGAUACACAGCGCCCCCAUCAGGAACCAGAUUGGAAAGAUGUGUGCGGCAGAAGAUGCUGGGAGUGUCGAUGGCAG